rnacentral:rRNA from 1 species
GCAGUAGCCGCGGGAAUACGGAGGGUGCAAGCGUUAAUCGGAAUUACUGGGCGUAAAGCGCACGCAGGCGGUCUGACAAGUCAGAUGUGAAAUCCCCGGGCUUAACCUGGGAACUGCAUUUGAAACUGUCAGGCUGGAGUCUUGUAGAGGGGGGUGGAAUUCCAGGUGUAGCGGUGAAAUGCGUAGAGAUCUGGAGGAAUACCGGUGGCGAAGGCGGCCCCCUGGACAAAGACUGACGCUCAGGUGCGAAAGCGUGGGGAGCAAACAGGAUUAGAUACCCGCGUAGUCCCUGUCUCUUAUAC